GGGGGGAGGCCGGAUCUUGGGCUGUGUCACCCGUGCCUUGGGCUCCGGGGCCUGUGCCGCUGGAAUCACGCCCCCAGGGCCAUGCAGCCCCCU
rnacentral:pre_miRNA from 1 species